UAAAUUCCCAGGGACACAACAAUAAUGAUAAGCAUCCAAGGAAUUCCAAAAAAGUCAGGCCCGGGAUGAAAAUGCCCAGGCAGAAAAUUGACGAUAUGGAAUACUACUAGUUGACAUAAUGAGAAGGCUCAAUGACAUUUACAAUAUUUCAGUUACAAAGGAUCAUCCUUAGAAACCCUUAACCUCCUCCAAGAAGUAACCACACCCCUCAGAUAUCCCCGGGCAAUUCCACUGCUUCAGGAAAGAUUGGAAAUUUCCAGUCUCAUGUUUCUUGCAUGGAUGGUAGUGUAUUUAGGCGUGCAAAUGUGGGCUGUCUUUUUUCUUGGUCUGAAGCAGGCAUGUCCAGUCUUUUGGCUUCCCUGGGCUAUAUUAGAAGGAGAAUUGUCUUGUGCCACACAUAAAGUACACUAACAAUAACUGAUGAGGAAAAAAAAUCACAAAAAAAUCUCAGAAUGUUUGAAGAAAGUUUAGAAAUUUGUGUUGGGCUGCAUUCAGAAAAGCUGUCCCGGGUUGAAUACACUCUGCCACCCAUGGGUUGGACAAACUAGGUAUAAAGUGAUUAUCUUUAAAGUCAUUUACUUAUUUUUUAGAUUGAAAUAUAACAUUGAAUGUAUUUGUCAUGUAUCACAUGAUAAAGGAAUCUCUCUGGAUCCCACUUCUUUCUUGAAUUACAUGAAUCUUUGCAAUUUAAAGAAUAUAAGUAAAAAAAUACAAUUAAGAGAUGACUUCAUUCAGAAAUAAGUAUCAAAUUUUAGUGCUUAAAAAUAACCAAG
rnacentral:lncRNA from 10 species